GCGAACGGGUGAGUAAUGCAUCGGAACAUGUCCAUUCGUGGGGGAUAGCCCGGCGAAAGCCGGAUUAAUACCGUAUACGCCCUGAGGGGGAAAGCGGGGGACCUGCAAGGGCCUCGCGCGAAUGGGUUGGCCGAUGUCCGAUUAGCUAGUUGGUGGGGUAAAGGCUUACCAAGGCGAUGAUCGGUAGCUGGUCUGAGAGGAUGAUCAGGCCACACUGGGACUGAGACAGGGUCCAUGACUCACUAACGGGAGGCAGCAGUGGGGAAUUCUCGGACAAUGGGGGAAACCCUGAUCCAGCCAUUCCGCGUGAGUGAAAAGGCCUUCGGGUUGUAAAGCUCUUUUGUCCGGAGCGAAACGGUUACGGGUGAUUAUCCGUGACUACUGACGGUCCCGGAAGAAUAAGCACCGGUAAUUACGUGCCAGCAGCCGCGGUUAAUACGUAGGGUGCGAGCGUUUAAUCGGAAUUACUUGGGCGUAAAGCGUGCGCAGGCGGUUUUGUAAGCCAGAUGUGAAAUCCCCGGGCUUAACCUGGGAAUGGCAUUUGGGACUGCAAGGCUUGAGUGCGGCAGAGGAGACUGGAAUUCCUGGUGUAGGCAGUGAAAU
rnacentral:rRNA from 1 species